AUAUAUUUCAUGUAGACAAGGUAUAUAAAUUCAGGUUUAAUUUUCUAUCUCAUUUAGGAAUGAGAUAAUACAGACUUCUCUUAUAUGUUGGAUUAUUGCCCAACUCUUGUUCAUCUGGUUCCGGCAUCCUGUUUCCAAGAAGGAAAUCACCUUGACUCAAUAUGAUUCAGGUGGGCGGACUCCACUCUGACUCCAAGGAUUAGCAUAAGUAGUGGACUUGGCAGGUGAGUGAACUGUAUCCCAAGACUCGCAGAGGUGGAACACAUGACCCAGGCUACAUGAAAGUAAGGGGAAACUCACCUGGGCAUGAUUGCUGUUGCAUUGGAUAAAGAAAAGAAAUCACAUCUUCAUUGGAGUCCUUCAUCUAGUUGCAUCUAAGCCUUGAUCUUUCUAUAACUAUCUUGUUGACCUUCAGUAGAACUUGCCUGAAAAAUCCAACACAAUGCAGAAAGAUGUGGAGAAACAUUUCUGAUGCCCUGCUAGUAUCCAGAGUGCUGAAAUCCCAGGCAAGCUUGGUACUUGUCAGACGUGAAGAACAGAAAACCAGUUGAGAAUUUCAAUGAUCAGUAAGAGAACUGGACAGCCACUCUCCACAACUCAGCAAUGGACAAUUUUCAGAGAAAGAAACCACAAUGGACCUACUGUCAAAUACACACAAUUCAUGGACCAAAUUUAUGUCUCCUUUCUUAUGAUCGCAAACUGGCCUGAAAACUUAAGCAGGGAUCUUGUAUCUCUUUCCCAUAAGGAUACAGCCAAGUGAUGGAAAGAAAGAAGAAAAUACCUUUAAAGUCCUCCUUUCUGGAUCUCAUCUAAUCCCUUCUUAUCCUUUUAGUAAUAAAAACAACCUCACAGCAAGUGAAAUUUCUAUA
rnacentral:lncRNA from 1 species